rnacentral:snoRNA from 1 species
CCUUUUCAGUUCAUAAGCAUGAUGAUUGGAUUUUUCAAGCUGUUGUGGGAAGUGUGCCUCCCUCUAAAUCUUUCUGCAACAUCAGCACAGUAUCC